rnacentral:rRNA from 1 species
UACGUAGGGGGCAAGCGUUGUCCGGAAUCAUUGGGCGUAAAGAGCGUGUAGGCGGCCCGGUAAGUCCGCUGUGAAAGUCCAGGGCUCAACCCUGGGAUGCCGGUGGAUACUGUCGGGCUCGAGUCCGGAAGAGGAGUGUGGAAUUCCUGGUGUAGCGGUGAAAUGCGCAGAUAUCAGGAGGAGCACCAAUUGCGAAGGCAGCACUCUGGGACGUGACUGACGCUGAGACGCGAAAGCGUGGGGAGCAAACAGG